AAUGAACGCUGGCGGCAGGCCUAACACAUGCGAGUCGAGCGGAUGAAGGGAGCUUGCUCCUGGAUUCAGCGGCGGACGGGUGAGUAAUGCCUAGGAAUCUGCCUGGUCGUGGGGGAUGACGUCCGGAAACGGGCGCUAAUACCGCAUACGUCCUGAGGGAGAAAGUGGGGGAUCUUCGGACCUCACGCUAUCAGAUGAGCGUAGGUCGGAUUAGCUAGUUGGUGGGGUAAAGGCCUACCAAGGCUACGAUCCGUAACUGGUCUGAGAGGAUGAUCAGUCACACUGGAACUGAGACACGGUCCAGACUCCUACGGGAGGCAGCAGUGGGGAAUAUUGGACAAUGGGCGAAAGCCUGAUCCAGCCAUGCCGCGUGUGUGAAGAAGGUCUUCGGAUUGUAAAGCACUUUAAGUUGGGAGGAAGGGCAGUAAGUUAAUACCUUGCUGUUUUGACGUUACCAACAGAAUAAGCACCGGCUAACUUCGUG
rnacentral:rRNA from 1 species